GUGGGGGAUAACCAUUGGAAACGAUGGCUAAUACCGCAUGAUGCCUACGGGCCAAAGAGGGGGACCUUCGGGCCUCUCGCGUCAGGAUAUGCCUAGGUGGGAUUAGCUAGUUGGUGAGGUAAGGGCUCACCAAGGCGACGAUCCCUAGCUGGUCUGAGAGGAUGAUCAGCCACACUGGAACUGAGACACGGUCCAGACUCCUACGGGAGGCAGCAGUGGGGAAUAUUGCACAAUGGGCGCAAGCCUGAUGCAGCCAUGCCGCGUGUGUGAAGAAGGCCUUCGGGUUGUAAAGCACUUUCAGUCGUGAGGAAGGUGGUGUAGUUAAUAGCUGCAUUAUUUGACGUUAGCGACAGAAGAAGCACCGGCUAACUCCGUGCCAGCAGCCGCGGUAAUACGGAGGGUGCGAGCGUUAAUCGGAAUUACUGGGCGUAAAGCGCAUGCAGGUGGUUUGUUAAGUCAGAUGUGAAAGCCCGGGGCUCAACCUCGGAAUAGCAUUUGAAACUGGCAGACUAGAGUACUGUAGAGGGGGGUAGAAUUUCAGGUGUAGCGGUGAAAUGCGUAGAGAUCUGAAGGAAUACCGGUGGCGAAGGCGGCCCCCUGGACAGAUACUGACACUCAGAUGCGAAAGCGUGGGGAGCAAACAGGAUUAGAUACCCUGGUAGUCCACGCCGUAAACGAUGUCUACUUGGAGGUUGUGGCCUUGAGCCGUGGCUUUCGGAGCUAACGCGUUAAGUAGACCGCCUGGGGAGUACGGUCGCAAGAUUAAAACUCAAAUGAAUUGACGGGGGCCCGCACAAGCGUGGAGCAUGUGGUUUAUUUCGAUGCACGCGAGAACCUUACCUACUCUUGACAUCCA
rnacentral:rRNA from 1 species